GACGAACGCUGGCGGCGUGCUUAACACAUGCAAGUCGAACGAAGAGCGAUGGAAGCUUGCUUCUAUCACUCUUAGUGGCGAACGGGUGAGUAACGCGUAAUCAACCUGCCCUUCAGAGGGGGACAACAGUUGGAAACGACUGCUAAUACCGCAUACGAUCUGACCUCGGCAUCGAGGAUAGAUGAAAGGUGGCCUCUACAUGUAAGCUAUCACUGAAGGAGGGGAUUGCGUCUGAUUAGCUAGUUGGCGGGGUAACGGCCCACCAAGGCGAUGAUCAGUAGCCGGUCUGAGAGGAUGAACGGCCACAUUGGGACUGAGACACGGCCCAGACUCCUACGGGAGGCAGCAGUGGGGAAUCUUCCGCAAUGGACGAAAGUCUGACGGAGAAACGCCGCGUGAGUGAUGACGGCCGUCGGGUUGUAAAGCUCGGUUAAUCGGGACGAAAGGCCUUUUUGCGAAUAGUGAGAAGGAUUGACGGUACCGGAAGAGAAAGCCACGGCUAACUACGUG
rnacentral:rRNA from 1 species